UAAAAACCCUGGCAGUGAGGAAUCUAUUCACAUGUGCUCGUCGACUUCUCCCUCCACAGAAGAAUGAGGAAUCAUCGGAAGAUCUGAUCAAGUACCCAUGGAGUACUAUACAAUCGGGGACUCCAUGUCAGGACAGGCAGCAGCAGGAUUCCAUCUAAUCAGCGUGAAAAGUGCCCACCAACGUUGCAGACCAGAGGCUGAGCAGGAAGCCCGCUGGUAUUCCAGGGAGAAAAGAAGACAAAUAAUGACUAAAGCGCACAGAACCAUUGUGUCAGCGUGCUGUUGCAGUUGGAAGUCAAAACUCUCUCCCAGGAUGCAACUCGUUCGUCCAUUCAACUGGUUAAUACAGUGUUAAUAAAUAUGUCGUGGAGGCGGUAUAUGUCACUUCACUUGAGCGGUCAGGCUGUUUCUGCACACCUUUUGCAUGCCACAAUGUAUUCACUGGGGUAUUGUGACGUUGAUUGAGGUCUCGGGAAAAGAGUCAAGAGCACCGCAGCACGGCACAAUGUAGGAAGUUUAAGAGGGUGCGUGCCAAAGAUAAGGAGCGAGCUUUGUCUUUAAAGUAGGUCUAUUGUUCAAAUUUGAGUUCCUCCUUUAAACACUAACGGAUGCUUUUGCAAAUAUUUCUCUCUCUGUGUAGAAAUAUGAUCAUUAUGACUUGUAUUUGCCGACAUCGGCUCCUGCAAUCCACUCAAAUCAAGGCUCCAUGAAAGAUUGAUGUCUCUUCACUAACUAUAUUCACGUUUAAAGCAACAUCACAAAACGUGUUUCUGGUUUCAUGUCUUCAUGUCGCGAUGCAUCAAUUGAGAAUGACGGAUGAAUCUCUCACCUUGGCCCAGUUCCCUCCCCCGUCCUUCUUCGCCCCAACAGACUUCGCAAACCGACCAAGGAGAGAUGGAAAAACAAAACGCACCCCUAUAGAGCCGUGGGAGACAGAUAAAGAACGUGUGCAUUCCAGAGUGAAUAAUGAACACGAUGACAAUAUGCACAAGAAUGCAGAUAAAUUCCAAUCACCCAAAAUC
ensembl:lncRNA